rnacentral:rRNA from 1 species
CCUACGGGAGGCAGCAGUGAGGAAUAUUGGUCAAUGGGCGGGAGCCUGAACCAGCCAAGUCGCGUGAGGGAAGACGGUCCUAUGGAUUGUAAACCUCUGUCUUCGGUGACGAAACGAGACGGUAGCCGAGGAGGAAGCCACGGCUAACUACGUGCCAGCAGCCGCGGUAAUACGUAGGUGGCAAGCGUUGUCCGGAAUUACUGGGUGUAAAGGGAGCGUAGGCGGGAAAGCAAGUUGAAUGUUUAAGGUACGGGCUCAACCUGUACAAGCGUUCAAAACUGUUUUUCUUGAGUGGAGUAGAGGUAAGCGGAAUUCCUAGUGUAGCGGUGAAAUGCGUAAAUAUUAGGAGGAACACCAGGGGCGAAGGCGGCUUACUGGGCUUUAACUGACGCUGAGGCUCGAAAGCGUGGGUAGCAAACAGGAUUAGAUACCCGAGUAGUC